rnacentral:rRNA from 1 species
AGAGUUUGAUCCUGGCUCAGAACGAACGCUGCGGCAUGCCUAACACAUGCAAGUCGAACGAUGCUUUCGGGCAUAGUGGCGCACGGGUGCGUAACGCGUGGGAAUCUGCCCUUGGGUCUGGGAUAACAGUUGGAAACGACUGCUAAUACCGGAUGAUAUCGCGAGAUCAAAGAUUUAUCGCCCGAGGAUGAGCCCGCGUCAGAUUAGCUAGUUGGUGGGGUAAAGGCCUACCAAGGCGACGAUCUGUAGCUGGUCUGAGAGGAUGAUCAGCCACACUGGGACUGGGACACGGCCCAGACUCCUACGGGAGGCAGCAGUGGGGAAUAUUGGACAAUGGGCGCAAGCCUGAUCCAGCAAUGCCGCGUGAGUGAUGAAGGCCUUAGGGUUGUAAAGCUCUUUUACCCGGGAUGAUAAUGACAGUACCGGGAGAAUAAGCCCCGGCUAACUCCGUG